AUUGUGAUGCUAUAAAAACUGUUUAGCUAGAGUAAGAUAGAGGCAAGUGGAAUUCCAUGUGUAGUGGUAAAAUGCGUAAAUAUAUGGAGGAACACCAGUAGCGAAGGCGGCUUGCUGGGUCUUUACUGACGCUGAGGCACAAAAGCGUGGGGAGCAAACAGGAUUAGAUACCCUGGUAGUCCACGCCGUAAACGAUGAGUACUAAACGUUGGGUAAAACCAGUGUCGAAGUUAACACAUUAAGUACUCCGCCUGAGUAGUACGUACGCAAGUAUGAAACUUAAAGGAAUUGACGGGACUCCGCACAAGCGGUGGAUCAUGUUGUUUAAUUCGAAGGUACCCGAAAAACCUCACCAGGUCUUGACAUGCUUCUGCAAAGCUGUAGAAACACAGUGGAGGUUAUCAGUUGCACAGGUGGUGCAUGGUUGUCGUCAGCUCGUGUCGUGAGAUGUUGGGUUAAGUCCCGCAACGAGCGCAACCCUUAUUGUUAGUUACCAGCACGUAAUGGUGGGGACUUUAGCAAGACUGCCAGUGAUAAAUUGGAGGAAGGUGGGGACGACGUCAAAUCAUCAUGCCCCUUAUGACCUGGGCUACAAACGUGAUACAAUGGCUGUUACAAAGGGUAGCUGAAGCGCAAGUUUUUGGCGAAUCUCAAAAAAACAGUCUCAGUUCGGAUUGAAGUCUGCAACUCGACUUCAUGAAGUUGGAAUCGCUAGUAAUCGCGAAUCAGCAUGUCGCGGUGAAUACGUUCUCGGGGUUUGUACACACCGCCCGUCAAACCACGAAAGUUGGCAAUACCCAAAGCCGGUGGCCUAACUUCGCAAGAAGAGGGAACCGUCUAAGGUAGGGUCGAUGAUUGGGGUUAAGUCGUAACAAGGUAUCCCUACCGGAAGGUGGGGAUGGAUCACCUCCUUUCUAAGGAAACAAUUAUCAUCUUCAGUUUUGAGAGACUUAAGAAAGUUUUUCAUUGUAACUUGCUUGCAAAUUGUAUUUGCAACAUUUUAAUCUUUUUAAGAUUAAGGGCCUAUAGCUCAGUUGGUUAGAGCACACGCCUGAUAAGCGUGAGGUCGGUGGUUCAAGUCCAUUUAGGCCCACCAUAACCACAAAUAGGCAAAAUCUUAAAAAAGCUCUUUGAAAAGUAGAUAAACGAAGGUUAAAAAAACAAAGGAACUAAGGGCGCACAGUGGAUGCCUUGGCACUAAGAGCCGAUGAAGGACG
rnacentral:rRNA from 1 species